rnacentral:rRNA from 1 species
AUUGAACGCUGGCGGCAGGCCUAACACAUGCAAGUCGAACGAGUGGCGGACUGGUGAGUAAUGUCUGGGAAACUGCCUGAUGUAGGGGGAUAACUACUGGAAACGGUAGCUAAUACCGCAUACCAUCAGAUGUGCCCCGAUGGGAUUAGCUAGUGGGGGGGGUAACGGCUCACCAAGGCGACGAUCCCUAGCCGGUCUGAGAGGAUGACCAGACACACGGGAACGGAGACACGGUCCAGACUCCUACGGGAGGCAGCAGUGGGGAAUAUUGCACAAUGGGCGAAAGCCUGAUGCAGCAAUGCCGCGUGUAGGAAGAAGGCCUUCGGGUUGUAAAGUACUUUCAGCGGGGAGGCGUUACCCGAAGAGGAAGCACCGGCUAACUACGUGCCAGCCGCCGCGGUAAUAC